UGACCCCCAUGUUCAUGUACGAUCACCGAAGUUAAGCAACAUUGAGCCUGGUUAGUACCUAGAUGGGUGACUGCUUGGGAAUACCUGGUGCAGUA